CCACCUGACCCCAUGCCGAACUCAGCAGUGAAACCGCUCAGCGCCGAUGGUAGUGUGGGGCCUCCCCAUGCGAGAGUAGGUCAUCGUCAGGC
rnacentral:rRNA from 1 species